AGCAUUCCGCCUGGGGAGUACGGUCGCAAGAUUAAAACUCAAAGGAAUAGACGGGGACCCGCACAAGUGGUGGAGCACGUGGUUUAAUUCGAAGAUACGCGAAGAACCUUACCUGGCCUUGACAUUGAUAGAAUCUGAUAGAGAUAUCGGAGUGCCUGCUUGCAGGAGCUUGAAAACAGGUGCUGCACGGCUGUCGUCAGCUCGUGUCGUGAGAUGUUGGGUUAAGUCCCGCAACGAGCGCAACCCUCGUCGUUAGUUGCUAACAGUUCGGCUGAGCACUCUAGCGAGACUGCCUUCGCAAGGAGGAGGAAGGUGAGGACGACGUCAAGUCAUCAUGGCCCUUACGGCCAGGGCUACACACGUGCUACAAUGGGGCGUACAGAGAGUUGCGAUACCGCGAGGUGGAGCCAAUCUCUUAAAGCGUCUCUCAGUUCGGAUUGUUCUUUGCAACUCGAGAGCAUGAAGCUGGAAUCACUAGUAAUCGUAGAUCAGCAAUGCUACGGUGAAUACGUUCCCGGGUCUUGUACUCACCGCCCGUCACACCAUGGGAGUUGAUUUCACCCGAAAUC
rnacentral:rRNA from 1 species